AAUUCUCAACUAUACACGUUUUUAUAACCUGCAUAGCUUGGAUCUUGGGUUUUGCGGGCUUUCACAAGUCGGCUAUCCUUAAAUGUAUUAGCAGAGCUUUUGCCGCUAAUCAUUGGUGUGAUAAUUAUCUACGCCAUUGAGAGGUGACAUACUGAGGCUUAGCUUCUAAUCGUCUUCACAGACAACUUUUGACA
rnacentral:misc_RNA from 1 species